UACGUAGGGUGCGAGCGUUGUCCGGAUUUAUUGGGCGUAAAGAGCUCGUAGGCGGCUUGUUGCGUCGACUGUGAAAACCUGCGGCUCAACCGUGUGGUCUGCAGUCGAUACGGGCAGGCUGGAGUUCGGUAGGGGAGACUGGAAUUCCUGGUGUAGCGGUGAAAUGCGCAGAUAUCAGGAGGAACACCGGUGGCGAAGGCGGGUCUCUGGACAUUUCCUAACGCUGAGGCACGAAAGCCAGGGGAGCAAACGGG
rnacentral:rRNA from 1 species